rnacentral:rRNA from 1 species
CCUACGGGAGACAGCAGUGGGGAAUAUUGGGCAAUGGGCGCAAGCCUGACCCAGCAACGCCGCGUGAAGGAAGAAGGCUUUCGGGUUGUAAACUUCUUUUCUCAGGGACGAAGCAAGUGACGGUACCUGAGGAAUAAGCCACGGCUAACUACGUGCCAGCAGCCGCGGUAAUACGUAGGUGGCAAGCUUUAUCCGGAUUUACUGGGUGUAAAGGGCGUGUAGGCGGGAAAGCAAGUCAGAUGUGAAAACCAUGGGCUCAACCUGUGGCCUGCAUUUGAAACGGUUUUUCUUGAGUACUGGAGAGGAAAGUGGAAUUCCUAGUGUAGCGGUGAAAUGCGUAGAUAUUAGGAGGAACACCAGUGGCGAAGGCGACUUUCUGGACAGUAACUGACGUUGAGGCACGAAAGUGUGGGGAGCAAACAGGAUUAGAUAUCCGAGUAGUC